UACGGAGGGUGCGAGCGUUAAUCGGAAUUACUGGGCGUAAAGCGCACGUAGGCGGUCAGGCAAGUCGGGUGUGAAAGCCCUGGGCUCAACCUGGGAAUUGCAUUCGAAACUAUCUGACUCGAGUAUGGGAGAGGGAAGCGGAAUUUCCGGUGUAGCGGUGAAAUGCGUAGAUAUCGGGAGGAAUACCGAUGGCGAAGGCAGGUCUCUGGGCUAUAACUGACGCUCAUGCACGAAAGCGUGGGGAGCAAACAGG
rnacentral:rRNA from 1 species